rnacentral:rRNA from 1 species
GACGAACGCUGGCGGCGUGCUUAACACAUGCAAGUCGAACGGAAAGGCCCUGCUUUUGUGGGGUGCUCGAGUGGCGAACGGGUGAGUAACACGUGAGUAACCUGCCCUUGACUUUGGGAUAACUUCAGGAAACUGGGGCUAAUACCGGAUAGGAGAUCCUGCUGCAUGGUGGGGGUUGGAGAGUUUCGGCGGUUGGGGAUGGACUCGCGGCUUAUCAGCUUGUUGGUGGGGUAGUGGAUUACCAAGGGUUUGACGGCUAGCCGGCCUGAGAGGGUGACCGGCCACAUUGGGACUGAGAGACGGCCCAGACUCCAACGGGAGGCAGCAGGGGGGAAUAUUGCACAAUGGGCGGAAGCCUGAUGCAGCAACGCCGCGUGCGGGAUGACGGCCUUCGGGUUGUAAACCGCUUUCGCAUGUAACGAAGCGGGAGUGACGGUAAUGGGUAAAGAAGCACCGGCUAACUACGUG